rnacentral:misc_RNA from 1 species
UUUGUUUUUUAAUUAAAAACUAGAAUGAAAGGUAAAACAUUUGAAUUUCUUUAUUAAAUUUAUAUCAUUAAUUUAUAUUAAGUAUAAAAAUAUACUUUUAAAUAAAAAAGACGACAAGACCCUAUUAAACUUAACUUAUGUUAAACUGGGGCAGUUCAUUAAUAAAAAUUUUAAUAAAUUUUAAUUAAAUUAUAAAUAUCUAAUAUAAUUAAAUAAACAAGUUACUAUAGGGAUAACAGCGUUAUAUUUUUUAAAAGUUCAUAUUUAAAAAAAUGUUUGCGACCUCGAUGUUGAAUUAUAUUUCUAUAACAAAGCAACCAUUUUAUAAGUAGGUCUGUUCGACCUUUAAAAUAUUACAUGAUUUGAGUUCAAACCGGUGCAAGCCAGGUUGGUUUCUAUCUUUUUAUAAAUUUUUCUAGUACGAAAGGACAAAAAAAUAUUUAUUAAUAUUAAAUAGCAAACUUAUGCAUUAGAUUUAGAAUCUAAAUAUUUCUAGAUU